AGGGGUAGCAGGAGUGGGUGCAGCCGGGAGAUGGAGGAUCCGGUGGUGCCGGAGGUCCACCUGCAGGCGCUGACGACUCCACUGACAGCCCAGCAUGGGACCGUGAGGGUGAUGGUCUUCACACCUCUCUGGAAUAAUUAGGGGCUUGAGAAUGCAGGUUUAGGCCUGAAAGACGUGCCAGACCUGCUGCCAAAGCAUCGGCCUCCACCUCACCCUGCAGACAUGGCUCAACAUUCACGCAUACAUACUCACACAAACAGAGUGAGCAAUUUGGGGUGAAGUGUCUUGCCCAGGGACACAACGACAUGCUGACUGCAGUGGGACUCGAACUUGCUAUCCCCUGUUUCUAAGUCCAGCACACUACCCACUGAGCCACAGCCUCCCCUACGACAAUUCUUAGAAAGUGCUCCUAGAUGACCUGUCCCAUAAAAGGCCUAAGAGACAUCAAAUGGAAAUGUAUGUAUCAUCUCAUAUCUUUUAUAUUUAUCUGCCCAAAAAACAAACAUAAAAUGCCUCGAUUUUCUAUUUAUAUUAAUUUUAUGGGAAGAAAAAGAAAAAUACUCUUAAUUAGUCGGCCUUUAGAAACAAUUUUAAAGAGAUGAAUAAAUGUAUGUGAUGUAGGACCUAUUGUUUUAUUUGCAAAUGAACUCAGAAAGAAAGUCAAAUCUAUGUAUGGAGUCGAGAGGUCAAAGGCUGACUGUAUAGAGGAAAUAAUAGCACAGAAAUAACUCAUGUGAGCUUUUAAUAGACGACUGAGAGGUUAGUGUCUAUGACAGAUUUACAAAUUAAGAUUAAUUUAAAGCUGCCUUUUUUCUUUACAUGAGUGUUAUCCACUAUCCCUCCCCCUUUUACAAAUCCCCCAGUCGUUGUGAGGUCGUGUGUUGGUUAGGAGGUGGUUGUUGUUGUUAUUGACAUAGCCACAGGCCUGUGGCUCUUCCUGGGUGACAGUUACAGGAGUUUAAACCUGUAAAUCUUCAGCAGACCUCCUUCCUCCCCUCUAAUUCCUCAUUACCUCACGGCAGGUAGUCUCAGGAGAGAUUUAGAGGGCCUGCAGGGCUGCUUCAGCGGAGGAGAGUGUUUCACUGAGUGUGUAAAAUCUCUGUGGUGAGUGUGUAGGACCGCAAGGAAGGACCGUGGGCAGUAGCUUUAAGCCAGACCACAGACCACAGGCAGGUAACACCAUAUGGAGUCUCCAUCCUUGGUUGUGUGUUUAAGUGUGUGUGGUUUCAUGCUUCAGGUGUAAAGAUGCUGCUUUCUGACUAACCUUUCAAACAACAGCCUAAAAAAAGAAUAAAUAAAAUCUUAUAACAUUUAAUGUUAUAUCUUCUCAGUCAGUUCUGUAUCAGCUCAGCAUAUCAGGGCAAGUGUCACAUCUUAUUCCCUCUGUUGGUUCUGCCUAAAUGUUUACAGACCAAUGAAAGGACUCUGGGUUUGCUCAUCCUUUCAGCCUACAUCAGUGUAACCUAACACCAAGCCUCUGCAAACCUGUCUAUCUGUUUAUCUACCUGGCUGUCUGAGUCCUUACCUGUGUCUUGAAACACACAUAUGAAAUCAAUGUUGGUUCCCAACACGGUUUAAACAAGAACUCUUCUGAGCUAUAGCCUGCAGGGGAGCCUCAUGUCAACUGUUGACUAGCUCCCACUAGUGGUGAUCAGCAGUAAUGUCAAGGCCAACCUGGGAGGUGAACUGCUUGUCCUUGUGAGGCAUUUAAUAUCUAAUAAUAGAAAGGUAUUUUGCUUUUAUACAUUCAAGUUGGACUAGUUUAGUAUUUACAUGAGCCUGCUGCACCCGUUUUUGGAAACAGAAGUCAUGCCAAAAAACACAUGUAUUUUUGUGUCAAUUAUUCUCUUGUAUAAUGAGAAAAGGUUCUGACAAGCUGUUGUAAUGACUUCUUCCCUUUCUUCACAUGGCUAUCCUCUUUGUGAACACAUGUUGUCGUGCUGUUGAAGUGAAUCAUUCAGCGGUUUGUGUGAUCCCCUGUAUGGCAUUGUGUCUCCAGCGACAGUGUUUACUGAUAAUUGAGUAAUUACCUGUAAAAGAUAGCACUCCUGUGGUUUUGUUCAGCUGUAAUCUUCCCAGUCUAUCUGAUGCAGAUCAGGUUUUAGCUUGGGAAGAAGCUCAAUGCAACAGUUUAGUAUUCUCUGUAAAUGUGUGUGAGUGCUAUACAUAUAACCAAUUUUAUGCCUCUAAACUAGCCUCUACGUGAAAAUCACAGGAAGUGCUUAAAACUAAUUUGCUGACAAGAUGAUGGUUGGACAUUUGAAAUUGCACAAAAUCAUAGGACGGUAAUUUGACAUUCCUUUGUGAGUUUCACAAUCCCACAGUGAAUAGAAAGUUGUAACAGGCACUUUGUGCGUACACUAGUGGCCUCACCCACAAUGGCAUUUGAAAGACAAACAGUAGUGCGUGCUGCUGGCCGGAGCUCCACAGCAGUGAAAGUGGUCGUUCUUUUUGAGUUACGGCAGCCAAAGUUCAGCAUAAUGUCCGUGUCAUUACAGGGUAAAGAAACCUUUGUGAGUCGGCCCUGUCCCUCUCCUGAUCUCCUUAGGCUAUUCUCUUUCUCUUGAAGAUGUUUAACUUGCUCCUUUCCUUCUUUUUCUUUAUCUUUCAUUCUGUAUUUCUUCCCUUUUCUGCUCUCUUUCUCUCCUGUCAAAAGUGUUCUGCCCCUCGGCAUUAGACGAUAUAUUCACAUUUUCAAAUCAGUCUGAUAACUUCCAUUCUGUAAUAUGCUGAAAUAAU